rnacentral:rRNA from 1 species
AUUGAACGCUGGCGGCAUGCCUUACACAUGCAAGUCGAACGGCAGCGCGGACUUCGGUCUGGCGGCGAGUGGCGAACGGGUGAGUAAUACAUCGGAACGUACCCUGUUGUGGGGGAUAACUAGUCGAAAGAUUAGCUAAUACCGCAUACGACCUGAGGGUGAAAGUGGGGGACCGCAAGGCCUCACGCAGCAGGAGCGGCCGAUGUCUGAUUAGCUAGUUGGUGGGGUAAAGGCCCACCAAGGCGACGAUCAGUAGCUGGUCUGAGAGGACGAUCAGCCACACUGGGACUGAGAUACGGCCCAGACUCCUACGGGAGGCAGCAGUGGGGAAUUUUGGACAAUGGGGGCAACCCUGAUCCAGCAAUGCCGCGUGUGUGAAGAAGGCCUUCGGGUUGUAAAGCACUUUUGUCCGGAAAGAAAUCGCGCUGGUUAAUACCUGGCGUGGAUGACGGUACCGGAAGAAUAAGCACCGGCUAACUACGUG